CUAAUUGUAUCUUAAUCAUUUGAUGUUUUAUUGAGUUUUAAAAACAGGAUAAAAGAUUAAGAGUUGAAGCCCAGAGCAUAAUGGACCGGCCCAGAAGAAAAUUAAUCAAUUAAAUGUAGAGGGACUUGGUUGUAAUAAAAUAAUGUUCAGGGAUGUAAUAGAAUUAGUUGUCAAUGAAUGUUAUAAAUAAUGGGUGUAAACUUCAAUUCAAGGAAUUCAAAUACAUUUUGUGAUAUUUUCACAUUUCAAUUUACAGUUUCUUUCUGUUAACUCUUCUUCCCCAAAUCCCCCUCCCGCCGGCCUGCAAUCCGAUCUCCUGUGGCCUUUCGUCGCCGGCAUUGGGUCGUCGUCGUUUUAUAGAAACAAAGAACACUUCAGGUUAACUCUAAAGAAAUAGUUGUUCAUUAAUCUGUCGUGGAUAUUAAGCACAUACGUUUCUUGAAGGAUCCUUCCCAGUGAUGUCGAUAUUGGAGAAGGUGGAAAGGAAACGGAGACCACGUAAAUUAACCCUAAAUUAAAUAUGCCAACCUAAAUUUUUGAUUAUCUUACGGAGACCAAAAAACACCCAAAAGAAGUGAGAAUGGAAACAACCAGAAUGAAAACAACCAGAGAAAUAAAAAGAAUAAGAAACCGAAAAGAAACAAACAUAGAAUGAAACCAAGGUUGAGAAAAACCAGAGAAUGAAACAAGGUUGAGCAAAACCAGAGAAAUAAAAAUCCCAAAGAAAUCCAGAAAACAAAGAACAGAGAAACAAAGAACAACCAGAGAACAAAAGAAGAUUAAAACAACCAGAGAGAUGAAAAGAAGAAGAAACACAAAAGAAGAAGAAAUCGAGAUCAAGAUCGAGAACGAGAACAAAGGAAUACAAAGAAACUCAACAAACCGACAAUGAAACCCAACAAACCGACAAUGAAAACAACCAGAGAAAUAAAAAGAGGAGGAAACCCAAAAGAAGAAGAAACCGAGAACGAGAAAGGAGAAUAAAGAAGAAACCCAUGGCCGAUAACGGAGGAUGAAGAAGACAACCAGAGAAUGAUGAAGAAGACAACCAGAAAAAUAAAUAACAGACACCGACAAGACAUGUCAAAAAAACACCUAUAACUGACACCUAUAAACCUAACCUAUAAUAAAACCUACAAAUGCUACCUAUGAAUUAAUGAAAAUUAACAAAUUUCAUAUCUCCCACGGUGUGCAGUCACCUGAUAAGAAUUGUAGAGC
rnacentral:lncRNA from 1 species